rnacentral:snRNA from 1 species
UGCCAACUUUGGCAAGAAAUACACAAAACUUGGAACAAUGCAGAGAUUAGCAUGGCCUUUGAGCAAGGGUGAUAUGCAAAUUUGUGAAGUGUUCCACACUUUU